CACAGCCACACACACAGGAGUGAAGGCAGCAGAGCCAAGCAGGAACCCGUCCUGCCCCAGGCCUGAGCUUUCUUAAGAGGCUCAUGGGGCAGAAAGGGUCAUUGUGCAUUUUUGUUGACUAUUGAUUCUCCCCUUCAUUCAACAACUGUACUGAGGCCAGAUCCCAAACUGAGCUCUGACGAGAUGGAGAAGCAAAGGACACGGUUCCUGCCCCCAAGGAGCUCCCAGACAAGCAGGAGAGAAGGUGGCUCCCAGACAAGCAGGAGAGAAGGCAGCUCCCAGACAAGCAGGAGAGAAGGCCGUGGAAAUGAUCCUUCUGAUACCACAGCCUGCCGAUGUCAUCUAGAACUCUGGGGGAUUGGGGGAAAACGAACAGAACCAGAUUAAAAAAAAAACCCUGUCCUUAGCUAGGUGUGGUGGUGGGCACCUGUUAUCCCAGCUACUUGGGCGGCUGAGGCAGGAGAAUCGCUUGAACCCAGGAGGUGGAGACUGCAGUGAGCCAAGACUGUGCCACUGCACUCCAGCCUGGGUGACAGAGCGAGACUCUGUCUCAAAACAAAAAAUGAAAAACAAAAAUGAAAAAGAAAAACAAAAACCAAACCCUGCCUUGUAAUUUUGACUUUUACUUUAUCCAAGUCAGGACUCCUGGUCUGAAGAAUAUUUGACCUCAUAACUAUUGGGGGACACUGGGGCUCCCUGCCCAGGGACAGGAUGUUCUCUGCAGAUAUCAGGACGUGGGUGCCGAUGACAAGGGCGCUUUGCCGCCAUGGCCCGGGGCUGGAAGCGCAGCUCUCAAAGGUUGGUUGUGAAGCUUCCAGGGGAGAUGGUCCUCUGCAGGAAGAAUAAGAGCCAUCCUGUAGCCUUCGCUGUUCCAGAAGGCUCCGUGGUGAAUACAUAAUUAGGUCCUCUGUAAUUACCAGUUUGAAUCUGCCUAGGACACUAAGGCUCCCACCCCCUAAUUUACCUUAUAAAUUUAUUCUGCUAAAAAAGUC
rnacentral:lncRNA from 10 species